rnacentral:misc_RNA from 1 species
AUUUUUUUUUUUUUAAUUUAAUGAAUUUUUUUAAUGUCUGUUGAAUUUGAGAGGCAUAUUGUUUCUGCCUCGAUGGAAUUUAGUCUGCCUUCUUUGUUAGCAUUACCUCAAAGUGGCUUGCAGUUAAUUAUUGUUCCAGCGGAGUAGAUUACUGUAAUUAAUUGUCUUUUAUAAUGCUUAAUUCCUGUCUUAGAUUCUUCCAAAUGAUGGUUUGAAUUUUGAUGCCUUUCCACGCUCUUAUAUGGGCUGUUCCAAUGUCUGAAAAUCCUAAUGUAAGCUGGACUUUUCUUGUCUACCCUGAAUCCUAUGCUGUCUUCUCGUUGAAUAAUCUCUUGCUCUUGUUAAUUUAUGGGUGGGCUAUACCAUAUUAUCUCUGUUCGGUAGGGAAUGUGACUGUUUCUCCCCCAGUCCGGUCUAUAGGAAGAUGUGAUGUGUUACUAUCAUGAGCCCUACUUAAUGCUUCUUUUAUGUUAAGGAAGUGAAGAAUAGAUAUAUUAUCAUUUGGUAGAAAAAUAUGGGUGCAUCUAAGGAUCAGUUCUAUUAGUGAAGAAAACUUCUGGUGUUUAUUUUCCAAUUAUUUUAACUGGUCUUGGCAUUGGAAUGAUCAAAAUUCAGUUAAUAUCAUCCCAAUAUGAAGAAAGAAAAAAAUGUGUGCUAAAAAACAAUUGCAGCUGAUAUCUGUGGUGCUCAGUAGCUUCAAUUUCACAAGUUAAAUGUUGGACAUUGAGAUUGCUGUCCUUGCUUGCAAGACCGUUGUUUUUCCCUUAACGUGGGUACAGCAGUGCUAUAGGUUAACAUUGUUUUGUUCUGAUACUUGUGAAUAAACUUAUGUCACCAGAAUGUAAUUACCCAAUAUGCAAGAAAUGCCAACUUUUUGAUUUUUUCGUGGCUGCAUGAACUGUAUCUGAUUGAAUAUUUGUGCUGUUUUGCAG